CCCGGAUAUCGGAUUUAAAAUUCGGUACCCGGGCCUUACUUAAAAACACUCAUCCAUGAUAAAAACGACCAGUCGACCAGCCCCCCCUCCCAAGUCGUUUUAUGCUAGGGUUAAAAUCCAUCCCACCCCCUCCAAACCCUCCAACCGUCAUCUCUCAUCUCUCUCUCUCUCUCUCUCUCUCUCUCUCGCGAAAAUCCUAGCCUCUUGUCACUCUUCCUCUACCAAUCGAAGAUCUGUUCCUCGUGGCCAUCGUUUUCUAGUUUUUCGCUCCGUCAUCGACUUAUACUAUCCAAGGAGGUAAGAAGGGAUCACAUUCUUGCUGCUUGUAAGGACUCUGUGGCAAGUUUGUUCACGUUUGAUCUAACAAGUCAAUGUACACUAAAUGGGAGAUUCAAAAAAUUGUUAGUCUGCCACUGUUGCCUUACCACAUGUCUGCAGAUGUUCAUCUACAUCAAUGUCUUGCAAAUUAACCACAACAACAAUACCAGGAAGAUAUUUGAAGUAGAGGGGACAGAGAUCCAUCAAUCUUUGUUAGAUGAUGUGUUUCCGCUCACACCUAUCCAAUAAUCUUCUUCCAAAGCUGUGUUUUAUAAUUUAUAUAUUGUAAUUUUGUGUUUUGUAAUGUAAUGUAUAAAUACUAAAUAUUGUAAUAUGUAGUGAAUAUUGCAUUAUGUUGCAUGCAUUUUACAUUAUGAACAUUGUAUAUAUUUUCUUUUACAUGUAUUUAGUUAAAAAGUUAAAAAGGUAAUUAGUUUCUAACUUUA